AAGGAAGCGCUUUGUCCACGUGGA
rnacentral:miRNA from 1 species